GUAGGGAAUAUUGGACAAUGGGGGGAACCCUGAUCCAGCCAUGCCGCGUGGAGGAAGACUGCCCUCUGGGUUGUAAACUCCUUUUAUAUGGGAAGAACCGUCCUCAUUAAUGAGUGACCUGACGGUACCAUAGGAAUAAGCACCGGCUAACUCCGUGCCAGCAGCCGCGGUAAUACGGAGGGUGCAAGCGUUAUCCGGAUUCACUGGGUUUAAAGGGUGCGUAGGCGGAUAAAUAAGUCAGUGGUGAAAUCAACGGGCUCAACCUGUUAACUGCCAUUGAUACUGUGUAUCUUGAAUAUGAGAGAGGUAGGCGGAAUGUUGCAUGUAGCGGUGAAAUGCUUAGAUAUGCUACGGAACACCGAUUGCGAAGGCAGCUUACUAUUUCGUAAUUGACGCUGAGGCACGAAAGCGUGGGUAGCGAACAGGAUUAGAAAACCGGGUAGUCC
rnacentral:rRNA from 1 species